GACGAACGCUGGCGGCGUGCCUAAUACAUGCAAGUAGAACGCACAGUUUAUACCGUAGCUUGCUACACCAUAAACUGUGAGUUGCGAACGGGUGAGUAACGCGUAGGUAACCUGCCUGGUAGCGGGGGAUAACUAUUGGAAACGAUAGCUAAUACCGCAUAAUAUUAAUUAUUGCAUGAUAAUUGAUUGAAAGAUGCAAUUGCAUCACUACCAGAUGGACCUGCGUUGUAUUAGCUAGUAGGUGAGGUAACGGCUCACCUAGGCGACGAUACAUAGCCGACCUGAGAGGGUGAUCGGCCACACUGGGACUGAGACACGGCCCAGACUCCUACGGGAGGCAGCAGUAGGGAAUCUUCGGCAAUGGACGAAAGUCUGACCGAGCAACGCCGCGUGAGUGAAGAAGGGUUUCGGAUCGUAAAGCUCUGUUGUAAGAGAAGAACGGGUGUGAGAGUGGAAAGUUCACACUGUGACGGUAUCUGACCAGAAAGGGACGGCUAACUACGUG
rnacentral:rRNA from 1 species